rnacentral:lncRNA from 1 species
CAUGCUUGGGGUCGGGACCAGGUGGUGGAUAUUUUGUUGUUUCCAUCAGCAUCCUUUCUUCAUUGAAUUCAUGUACUAAAUAUUCCCCAAACAUUUCCCCAGCUUCACUUGAUUUUUUCACAUCCUACAAAAUAUAAUUAUAUACAAAUUUAAUCUAAUUAUUAAAUUUACUUAUAUUCAGCCGUGCAAAAUUUAUACGGAUAGGCAGAACAACUUUCAACAUUGCUAGUAUUGAUGUUCAUCUUUUUGCUUAAAAAAUAAAAAGUGGUUCAAAAGUCUCCUCUUUUAUUUUAAGACUAAUAAUCUUUAAUCAAUUUUCUUUUCUAAAAAUAUGUCAUUUUAUUACUCCGCUUGUGGAGUUUAGAUAUAAGAUAAUAUUUUAUUAUAUAUGUUUGUCUUUAUGAGUGAGAAAGGACCUGAGUAAGUAAAUUUCGGGCGGACGAAGGGAGUAGUUCCUUAUUUUACUUGAGAUUUCCUAUAUAAAAAUAUAUAUCAAAUAAAUUAAUUAAUAAAAAAAUCAAAAUUAAAAACUAAAAUAUUACCCUCACUUAUAGUAGGAAUAGUAGCACAAGAAAUCAGAAGACAACAUAAACCUAGAAAAAGUACCAUAAAUCUAACAUUAAAACCUUUGUUAUCCAUGCUAAUCAUAAACAACGACCUUACAACAAUGAGAAAAGAUAAAGAAAUUUGGUGAUGGCAAAGGAAAGCAUUUGAGUUUUGGUAAUUUGUUCUUUAUAUAGAGAGUGUUUGGUACUUUCCUUGUUUACUUUUUUUUUUUUAAAAAAAGACCAGUUGGAUUCAUUUAUGCAAAAGAAUAUAGCCAAAAAAUACUAAACAUAAAAAAUAACCUAAUUGAAAACAAAUAAAAUAAUAAUUACUAAUAAAAAAGAAAAAAGAAUAAUGCAGUAAUAAAUAAAAACUAUUGGCUUCUUUGUUGGCUUCCUAAACCACCCCAGUAUUCACAACCCAUUCCCCUUUCAUUUCCUAUUUGCUCCCUUAACCUUCACAUUUCUUUAGAGGAGACCCUUUUGGUCAUUCGUCGAUUCGUUUCACCGGCCAAUAGAUCUCUUCUCCUCCUCCAUUUUCCCUUUCACGAAUGCCGGUACUUCCCUCAUUAGGUGACUCUACUCCCUCCAUUUUAAACCCUUUAUUGUCAAGACAUGCGCAAGACUAUUCCUCUCCCUUAUUGUGUAUGUAAACAAACAGGUAUCGAAAACUUCUGUCAACAAUUUUAUAUCUUCCACGUACGUGCUUAUAACUAAAUCAUCCACCUUACUUAUUAAAAUCUUUUUGAUUAUUGUGAGAGUGUCUCCCUAGAUUUCGAUCUCUCGAAAUCCCAAAUCUAACCACAUUUGAACACCCUAGAGAAAUGUGAGUGCCUCCACAAUAAUCGUUUAUGGAAUCCGCUUGUUUAUAGUUACUUGUGACCCCACUAUAGACCCAUCGGGCCUCGCACUAGUAACCCGUACACAACUCCUUUGCAUGCCAUUGAAAACUUGCAUCAAAGUUGAUAAGGAUUAAGGUGGAUGGUUGCAAAAUAUAGGAUCAUAAGCUUGUCUAAAUUGUGGAUUUGAGUUAGGGCUCUAGACGUUCAAAAAGAAAUUUAGAUCUUGAUACGAUUUGAAACGAAAUCAAAUCCAAGUCAUAUAAAAUAACUAAAUAAAUAACUAAGAUAAAUAAAAUAGAAUAAUAAAUUAAUGAUUAGAACAAUAAGGAAGAAAAUGAAAAAGAUAGAUGGAAAGAUAGAACGUGGUAUGUAGAAGUCCUAAGAAGCUUGGGAAAUACGACCAAUCCACAACUCCCUUGAAGCGACUCUAUUUCCCCUCCAAGACGGAAACUUGGUAAGAAAAAGUUUGAAGAUGAUUCUCACAAGUUGAAAAGAUUAUUAAAACUCUUCUAAAAGAAAACUCAAAAGAAAUUUUUGAAAGAAAAACUCGAGAAAUUUUUGAAAGAAAAAAUCAAAGAGAAAUUUUUAACUCAAAAGAGAAGUUGAAUAAUAAUGAAAUGAUUGAAUUGUGUACAAUGCAAAGGUAUUUAUAUAGGCUAGCUAAAUAAAUCUAAAUAAAUUUCUUAAGGAUACUAGAACUCUAAUUAACCUAAACAAGAAGUAGUUUUAAACUAAUAUUUCUUAUUGACAUAAAACUCCUAAAUAACUUAAAAUACUUAAUAAUUAUCAAAAAUUCAGAACAAAAAUAAUAAAAUAAUAAGAGUUGAUAAAUACAAUAUUGGGAUUAUAUAUAAUAAAAAUUAAGCCUAACACUCGAACCUAAUAUGAUUUAAACUCGAAUUAAAAGCUUGAAACUUGUAAUUCCCUGUAUAAUCCCGUUCAGAAAUUAUGGUCGUCCAGUCUUCACUAAAACGGUUAUAACUUGAGUUUCCGAACUCAAAAUUGAGUGAUUAAAAGUGCAUUUUGAAGGUAAGAAAUAGAUAUUCGAACGCUAUGAAGACAUCUUAAUCCAUAAAUGUCUGGAUCCUAUACAAAUAUUUGUCGCAAGUUGACUAAUCUUUUGAGCUUGAAAAUUAACAGCUUAGUUUACUUGACUUUAAUCCAUUUCACCCAUUCCACGCAUGUAUCAUUCUUCAUUUCCGCGAAAAUAUUCAUCAUCGCACACUAACUUUGAUUGAAUCUUGGCUUGAUUUGCUUGACCUUUGACCUUGUUGUUAGGCCUUGAGGUAGUGUAAGCACAUUGCAUCUAUAGGCCUGAAGUUGGGUCUUGAGACUCGUAUGAAAAGUUUAACUUGAUUAGUCCUGGUUCCAGUGGUUGCCAACCCUCAGCCACUGGUACUCUGGAAGCCAAACAUUCUUUACUAUCUUUCCACUUUUGGCUAUACUUGUUUAUGAGAUUCACUAUUUCCUGUACUGACUAAUUUUGCCCCUCAUACAGGAUUCGAUUUCGGACCGUCCAUAUUGCCUACACAGCACCAGCUAUUAACCUUCAUCGUACUCUUGACCCUACCUCGAAUAGAUAAGUCAUCCAUUCUCUAUAAUUUUCCUCGGAGAUAUUUUGUGGCCACCCAACUCCUAACUUGUCCUAUAUUUCUUUUGUAGAUGCACAUUCCCUAAACACAUGCUCAAUGGUUUCAGUUUCAUUUCUACAUCUUGGACAUUUCAUUACAUCGCCUAGUCUUCAAAUUACUAAAUUGUUAAGUGUUGAAAUGUAAUUAUUAAACACCCUCCGAUUUGUAAUUUUUACUUUACUCAGCGGCACUCAAUCUGCCAGAGUUUUUUUUUGCAAUAGUUCCUCUAAGGAUUUGGUAUGCUGGUUAUAUUUUCAUCUUGCAUUGUCUUUUUGUAACCACUCCUUACCGAAUACUCCUCUGUUUGUUCUCCCCUUCGUGCCAUUCUGUCUCCUUGUGGGUGUUGAGUUAGAAGGAUGCAUAAGAUUUGUUCUGUAUCUUCAGACGAAAAAACACCGAUAAUAAGCUCCUCCAUCCAUUGUCUUGUUUCAUGCAAAAUCAAAUCAGACACAUUUGUUUUCGAACUGUUUGUAACCUCAUUAUGAAUUCUAGAAUCCAUAGAUUCAGGGUUCCUUUCAUCAUCCCUGAUUGAUAUACUCUCCUCUGUCCUAACCCUCCAACACAUUCCUGAUUUUAGGAGUCUUUUAGUGACCCAGAUGCUUUUCCAGGUAUACGGCGGGUAAUUCCCUAACCUUGAUUAUAAAAAAGUAGAUGAUGGAUAAUAUUUUUCCUUGUUUGCUUUUACAUUAGUAUCAAAUUAAUUUUUUUUAACAUUAAUAUCAUUAUAGAUUCUUAUCAUAUAUGGCUAGAAUUACCUAUAGUCGCUCCCCAACCCUUAAAUAAGAGGAUAAUAGUUCAUAGUUUGUUGACCGUAAAUUGUAAUUGUAAAUUUUUAAUAAUUUUAAGAAAUUUGAUUAGAAUUUUAAUAUAUUUAAAAUUUUUUAUAAUGGUUUCUAAACAACAUUUUAAAAAUAUGUACUUCCCUCGUGUUUAAAUUUUUUAGUUUAAUUAUGAAAAAGAAUUAUUUUUAAAAUUUUUUUAUUUAAAGUAUUUUGUAAAAAAUAAUUGAAUAUUUUAAAUAAAUUUUAAGUAAAUAAUUUUUUAAUAACAGAGCCGAUAUAUUUUAUUAAUAAUAAAAUAGUGAUGUGUCUAAUUUGGUAGUGUAUUUUACUUUAUAAUAUAUAUACUAUCAUUUUAUCCAUAUAAUACACAUGUAUUUUGUAUGCAUCUAUUCAAAUAUAUUUAUUUAUUAAUAUAAAAUAAUUUUUAAGAUUUGUAACGUUUGAAAAAAUAACUUGAUUAAAAAUAUAUACUGAUAUAUAUUAUAUUACAACCUCCACUACAAAUUAAGGAAAUUUUCGUAUGUGGAAUUUUUGACAUGUGGUCACAAAAGUAUUUUUGUGUUAAAAUUACUACUGUUUUUUAAAACCUAUUGGGUGUAAUUAAUAAACAUAAAUAAUAAAAUUUCUCUUUUUUCCUUAGCGCCUCCUAAUUUUCACAAAGGGGAAGAGGUUUUUUUCUUUUAACUUUGGAAUAUCUACGAGGUAACUCCUUUUGGCUUUGUCAGAUUUAUAAUUUAGCCCCUAUUUUUAAUUUAAUAAAAAUAUUUCGAUUUGCAAGUGAAAGAAAUAGAGUUGUUGUAUUUAAUACCUUCAAUAUUCAACAUUAAAAUUUAGAAAGGAUUAAUAUCAUAAUUCUGAAAAGGUUGUCAAGUAAAUGGAUUUCAAAAAUAUUUGAAAGAGGGAUUAAACUGUGUAACUAUCAAUAUUUAAAGAAUUUUUUAAGGAAAUAAGCCAAAAAGAGUAUAAACAUGUGUCAACCUGCCCGAUAUAAAAAAAAAAUUAUAUUUUAAAUAAAUCCUCGUACUAAUAAUAAUAUAUGAUUUAAAGAUUUUAUGAAGCAAAUAAGCAAAUAAGGUGUCAACUUAGUUUAAUGUGAAAUUUAAAAAAUUUAUAAUGUGAACAUGGCUAAAAAUUCCUUUCUUUUUAAGAUAAAACUUUGUAGUAGUAGUAGUAUGAUUUAAAGAAAUUAAGAAGCAAAUAAGCCAAAAAUGAUAUAAGCAUGUGUCAACUUAAUUUAAUGCCAAAUGUAAAAAAAAAUAUAAUGUGAAUAUAACUAAAGAUUUUUGAACAUGUGUCAGUUAAGUUUAAUAUAAAAAAAAUAAAAAUUUUAAUUUUUAGAUAAAACCUUGUAAUACAUAUUUAAAGAAUUUAUGAAACAAAUAACAAAAAAAAAAAAGGUAUGAACAUGUGUCUAACUUAGUUUGAUGCCAAAUGUAGGAAAAAUUAUAAUGUGGAUAUGAUUAAAAAAUUCCUUUUCCAGAUAAAACUUGUCAUAUUUAUAUUUAAAAAAAAUUAUGAUGCAAAUAAGUCAAGGAUACCAACAUGUGUCAAUUUAAUUUAAUGUCAAAUGUAGACAUUUUAUAAUUUGAACAUUGAUAAAAAUUUCCUUAUGAGCUCUAAUCAUAUUAAAAUAUUUUUAGAAUAAUUAUAAUUCGAUUGGGAUAAAAUAACAUAAUUUAACUAGAAAAAGAAACUCAAUUUAUGUUAGAACAUGUCGCCACGUCGUUCGUCGUCGCAACAUCAAGAAAUUUCUCAUUGUGACGUCGCCGACGACUUUGGUUUUAUGAUACUGAAGUCCAUGUUUGCGAUAUGAGUUGCGAUGAGCGCUUGCAAAUAGUCCAAUAAAUACAAAGGACAUCCCACAUUUUCAUUAGAUCUAUCCAACAAUAAUUACAUGCCUUACUAUUUCAGAACAAAACAUUUCCUUACUUAAUUAUAAAAUAUUAAUAUUAAUAUUAAUAUGAAAACUAAUAUUCUUUUACUUGUGAAAAUAAAUAGAGCCAUUGUUGGACAGGAAGAUUAACAAAGGAAUUCGAGCCAUUUGGUGGAUAAAAAGAUUUAAGAAUAUAAAUUGAAUUGAAGUGAAACUUAAGUUUUAUAAUUAUGAGAGAAAUGAGAUAUCUAUAUAUAAAAUAAGGAAUUUAUUUAUUGCAAUAACUAAAAAGUUACAUAUAAGAUUAUUUAGAUUAAAUAUAAAAGUUUAGACUUUAGUUUUUUUUUCUUUUCAUGAUUGGGGAGGAGGAGGAGCAUGGGGAUCAUGCUUGGGGUCGGGACCAGGUGGUGGGUAAUCUGUUGUUUCUAUUAGCAUCCUUUCUUCAUUGAAUUUAUGUCCUAAAUAUUCCUCAAACAUUUCCUCAGCUUCACUUGAUUUUUUCACAUCCUGCAAAAUAUAAUUAUAUACAACUUUAAUCUAAUUAUUAAAUUUACUUAUAUUCAUCCUUGCAAAAUUUAUACGGAUAGACAGACAAUUGUCCAAAAAUACAACAACUUUCAGCAUUACUAGUAUUAUGUUCAUCUUUUUGCUUAAAAAAUAAAAAUUGGUUCAAAA